rnacentral:rRNA from 1 species
AAGCUAUUUAGGUAGCGCCUCGUGAACUCAUCUCCGGGGGUAGAGCACUGUUUCGGCAAGGGGGUCAUCCCGACUUACCAACCCGAUGCAAACUGCGAAUACCGGAGAAUGUUAUCACGGGAGACACACGGCGGGUGCUAACGUCCGUCGUGAAGAGGGAAACAACCCAGACCGCCAGCUAAGGUCCCAAAGUCAUGGUUAAGUGGGAAACGAUGUGGGAAGGCCCAGACAGCCAGGAUGUUGGCUUAGAAGCAGCCAUCAUUUAAAGAAAGCGUAAUAGCUCACUGGUCGAGUCGGCCUGCGCGGAAGAUGUAACGGGGCUAAACCAUGCACCGAAGCUGCGGCAGCGACGCUUAUGCGUUGUUGGGUAGGGGAGCGUUCUGUAAGCCUGCGAAGGUGUACUGUGAGGUAUGCUGGAGGUAUCAGAAGUGCGAAUGCUGACAUAAGUAACGAUAAAGCGGGUGAAAAGCCCGCUCGCCGGAAGACCAAGGGUUCCUGUCCAACGUUAAUCGGGGCAGGGUGAGUCGACCCCUAAGGCGAGGCCGAAAGGCGUAGUCGAUGGGAAACAGGUUAAUAUUCCUGUACUUGGUGUUACUGCGAAGGGGGGACGGAGAAGGCUAUGUUGGCCGGGCGACGGUUGUC